GUUGGCUUAGAAGCAGCCACUCAUUUAAAGAGUGCGUAAUAGCUCACUAGUCGAGAGAUCCUGCGCCGAAAAUGUCCGGGGCUCAAACUUACCACCGAAGCUACGGGCUUGCGUAAGCAAGCGGUAGGGGAGCGUCGUAAUCGGGCUGAAGUCGUACCGUAAGGAGCGGUGGACUGAUUACGAGUGAGAAUGUUGGCAUUAGUAGCGAGAUGUAGGUGAGAAUCCUACAGGCCGAAUAUCUAAGGUUUCCUCAGGAAGGCUCGUCCGCUGAGGGUUAGUCGGGACCUAAGCCGAGGCCGAAAGGCGUAGGCGAUGGACAAUCGGUUGAUAUUCCGAUACCACUACCAUCGUUAAUAUCGAGGGUGUGACGGAGAAGGAUAGUGUGUGCUAGCGAUUGGAAAUGCUAGUCUAAGCGUUUAGGGAGUUACGGUAGGCAAAUCCGCUGUAACAAUUCUGAGGCGUGAUGGGGAAGGCCAUAUAGGCCGAAGUACAUGAUUCCAUGCUUCCAAGAAAAGCAUCUAGAGAGAGAAGUAGUGCCCGUACCGCAAACCGACACAGGUAGAUGAGGAGAGAAUCCUAAGGCCGGCGGAAGAAUUGCAGUUAAGGAACUAGGCAAAUUGACCCCGUAAGUUCGCGAGAAGGGGUGCCUGCGAGAGCAGGCCGCAGAGAAUAGGCCCAAGCAACUGUUUAGCAAAAACACAGGUCUCUGCUAAAGCGUAAGCUGAUGUAUAGGGGCUGACGCCUGCCCGGUGCUGGAAGGUUAAGGGGAACACUUAGCGCAAGCGAAGGUGUGAACUUAAGCCCCAGUAAACGGCGGCCGUAACUAUAACGGUCCUAAGGUAGCGAAAUUCCUUGUCAGGUAAGUUCUGACCCGCACGAAUGGCGUAAUGACUUGGGCACUGUCUCAACUGCAAAUCCGGCGAAGUUGUAGUGCGAGUGAAGAUGCUCGCUACCCGCGAUUGGACGGAAAGACCCCGUAGAGCUUUACUGUAGCUUAGCAUUGAAUUCCGGUAUUGUCUGUACAGGAUAGGUGGGAGACUGGGAAACUAGGGCGUCAGCCUUAGUGGAGUCAACCUUGGGAUACCACCCUGACAGUACUGGGGUUCUAACAGGACGCCAUGAAUCUGGUGACUGGACAUUGUUAGGUGGGCAGUUUGACUGGGGCGGUCGCCUCCUAAAAAGUAACGGAGGCGCCCAAAGGUUCCCUCAGAACGGUCGGAAAUCGUUCGUAGAGUGCAAAGGCAGAAGGGAGCCUGACUGCGAGACAUACAAGUCGAGCAGGGACGAAAGUCGGGCUUAGUGAUCCGGUGGUACCUCGUGGGAGGGCCAUCGCUCAACGGAUAAAAGCUACCUCGGGGAUAACAGGCUGAUCUCCCCCAAGAGUCCACAUCGACGGGGAGGUUUGGCAC
rnacentral:rRNA from 1 species